rnacentral:tRNA from 1 species
GGGGCUAUAGCGCAGUUGGUAGCGCGCUUCCAUGGCAUGGAAGAGGUCACGGGUUCGAUUCCCGUUAGCUCCA